GACGAACGCUGGCGGCGUGCUUAACACAUGCAAGUCGAACGGUGAAGGGACCAGCUUGCUGGUUCUGGAUGAGUGGCGAACGGGUGAGUAACACGUGAGUAACCUGCCCCCUUCUUCUGGAUAACCGCAUGAAAGUGUGGCUAAUACGGGAUAUUCUGGGUCUGUCGCAUGGCGGGCCCGGGAAAGAUAUUGCUUCGGUGGGGGAUGGGCUCGCGGCCUAUCAGCUUGUUGGUGGGGUGAUGGCCUACCAAGGCGGUGACGGGUAGCCGGCCUGAGAGGGGGGACGGUCACACUGGGACUGGGACACGGCCCAGACUCCUACGGGAGGCAGCAGUGGGGAAUAUUGCACAAUGGGCGCAAGCCUGAUGCAGCGACGCCGCGUGAGGGAUGGAGGCCUUCGGGUUGUAAACCUCUUUCGCCAGUGAAGCAGGCCUGCUCCUUGUGGGUGGGUUGACGGUAGCUGGAUAAGAAGCGCCGGCUAACUACGUG
rnacentral:rRNA from 1 species